CGGGGCAAAUCAAGCAGCAAAUUAAAGCUCAAAAAAACCCCUCACCUGCAAAACAUGUAUAAGGAACUCAUUUUAAUGCUUUCAAGCUGAAGUCAUUGGGACAGGAGCCCAAAAGCCAGUGACAAGGGUACCUUGGCGGCAGUUCCAGCUGGCUGCAUACCUCCGGAGGUUUGAUUCUGGUCACAGGAAGAACUAAAGCCAAAUAAAG
rnacentral:lncRNA from 12 species